rnacentral:rRNA from 1 species
AUGCCUGCUCACCACACCUCACUGUUGGUCACCUUAGGUUUCCUUGCAGAAAUCCUGCUGCUAGUGCAUUGUUCGCACGCCCGUUCAGCAGACAGCAGUGCCUCCCAGCAGGUCCCUGCACGCUGCCGCAGGGACCAGGCCGCCGCGCUUCUCACCGUGAAGCGUUCCUUCAACUUCACCAACGACGACGAGCCGCCCACCACGACACUGUCAUCGUGGACAGUGGGCACAGACUGCUGCCGCUGGGAAGGCGUUCGCUGCGACAACGUUACCGGGAGGGUCACUGCACUCGACCUCCCGGAGCGGAACCUGCAGAUCGGCGAGCUUCACCCUUCCAUCUCCAGGCUUACCUCUCUCCAAUAUCUCAACCUUGCCUACAACACGUUUACCAGCUCCCAGCUUCAGGUGUCUGGUUUCCAGGGCUUGACACAACUGACCUACCUCAACCUGUCAACCUGCAACUUCUAUUUUCAGGUCCCACUCGAUAUCUUUCGGCUCACCAACCUGGUCAUCCUCGACCUUGGACGCAACAGAUGGGAGCUCCUUCCGUCGACUGUAGUGGCCAACGACCUUAGUAAGCUGAAGGAGCUCCAUCUAGAGCAAGUUAAUAUCACCGGCACAGCGCCGGAGUUCUUCAAGGCACUUGCCAACCACUUCCCCCUUCUUCAGAUCCUUCGCCUAACCGGAUGUUCCCUUUCUGGUCCACUCCACCCAUCGUUAUCAAGACUCCACUCCUUAUCGGUGGUUGAUCUUGGUUAUAACUCUUUAACUGGUCCUCUGCCUGAUUUGUUCACUCAUUCCAAUUCCCCUUUGCUGCGAGAACUUGUGCUCGCUGAGAACAGAUUCGAGCCUUCUGCAUUCCCUCUUGGGGUCACUGGGCUAAAGAAUCUCAUGAUUCUCGACCUUGGAAGCACAAACCUCGUUGGGGCCAUCCCUACCUCCAUCGGGAGCCUCAUGUCACUGACUGAAUUACACAUCAGUUGGAACAGCUUCUCCGGCAGGCUACCUUCGGCCCUCAGCAAUCUGACAAACUUGAUCAUACUGGACUGUCAGGGCUCUGGUUUGUCUGGGCAGAUUCCAUGGCUUACAAGCUUAACACGACUUGAAAGUGUAUGGCUCGCCGGCAACAACUUCACAGGGCCGGUUCCUCUCGACGGACAUAUGUACCCAUAUCUCAUAGAGGUGCGUUUAAGCAAUAAUUCACUCUCGGGGACAGUUCCAGCAUCCUUGUUCACUCUGCCAGCAUUGCAGACAUUGUGCCUCCAAAUGAACCGACUCUCUGGUGCUAUUGAGGAAUUCCAGAAUCCAUCAGCUAAGCUAACUGACAUUGACUUGAGCAGCAAUCAGCUAACAGGUUCAGUUCCAGCUUCCUUUUCCUAUCUCACUGCUCUUCAGUCCCUGCAACUUGACAACAACAAUUUCACGGGUACCUUGGAUCUAAACCCGUUCUUGAGGCUAAGGAACCUUAGUACUCCCUCCGUCUAG